rnacentral:lncRNA from 1 species
UCCCUCUAUAAUAGCUCGAUGAACCAAAACCAUGACUAUUUGUUUUCACUCUUAACUGCAGCGAAGGCCACUGGAUAUAUACAAUCGUUGGCAUCAACCCCAACAGCAGCAAGAAAAUGUCCACCAUAAUAUCCCUCCAACCAACACCCAUCUAACCCUAUAAUUCUCUUACAACUAGUUAACCAACCUGAUUUGCAUGCCUCAAGGCAUAUAUAAAGCCUUUGAAAUAACCUGCAUUCUAAUUUACAAAUGGUUGUUGUACCAGGGUUGUUUCUCCUUAGCUCAAGUAAAUAAUCG